CGACAUUUCGAACGCACAUUGCGGUCCUCGGAUACUGUUCCCGGACCACUCCUGGCUGAGGGUCGUUUCAACGUUCUAGACUGCGCGGU
rnacentral:rRNA from 19 species